CAUUCCUAUCAGCUCACCUCACAAAGGUACAAGGAGCAGUGCCUGGCUGUGGGUGCCCAGAGAAGUCCCUGAGAUGAUGACACAGCCAGGCCUGGCCUCAGGUUCCUGCAGAGUCUCAGUUGCCCCAGUGGAGAAGACUGUGUGCAGCUGAGAGGGAACACAAGGUAAAGAUGUCUGUUUUUCUCCAAACAGGUUUCUGGUAAAGUGGGAAGAUAUUACACAUUUUUGAAUAAUAAAGCCUACUGAAAGUGAGUCUGAUGCUGAGUCAAGGAAGCUUGCAUAUGACAGUGGUCUCUCCAGAUGGAGACCAGAGACCCCAGAGAGCACCGACCUUUAAAGAAAGAAAAGGAGACAGCCUCGGGGAUGAACAGCAGUUUAUUCUCCUGACACUGUUCGACAAUCAC
rnacentral:lncRNA from 1 species